rnacentral:rRNA from 1 species
UACGUAGGGUGCGAGCGUUGUCCGGAAUUAUUGGGCGUAAAGGGCUCGUAGGCGGUUUGUCGCGUCGGGAGUGAAAUCCACUGGCUUAACUGGUGGCUUGCUUUCGAUACGGGCAGACUGGAGGUAUGCAGGGGAGAACGGAAUUCCUGGUGUAGCGGUGAAAUGCGCAGAUAUCAGGAGGAACACCGGUGGCGAAGGCGGCGUCCUGGACCAACACUGACACUGAUGAGCGAAAGCCAGGGGAGCAAACGGG